UACGUAGGGAGCAAGCGUUGUCCGGAAUCAUUGGGCGUAAAGCGCGCGUAGGUGGCCUCGUAAGUCCGCUGUGAAAGUCAAAGGCUCAACCUUUGAAUGCCGGUGGAUACUGCAGGGCUAGAGUCCGGAAGAGGCGAGUGGAAUUCCUGGUGUAGCGGUGGAAUGCGCAGAUAUCAGGAGGAACACCAACGGCGAAGGCAGCUCGCUGGGACGGUACUGACGCUAAGGCGCGAAAGCGUGGGGAGCGAACAGG
rnacentral:rRNA from 1 species